GCAUGUGAGGGUGAUCUGUCUGUUAUAUCUGUCACCCUGUUGAUUGCAAGCGUUGAUUAAGCUGAUCUGGCUGGCUAGGCGAGUAUCCCCUUCUUCCCUCACUGCUCCAUGUUUGUCCCUCCUCAAGCUGUGUGCGGGGUGUAAGAGGAUGACCAUCCCCAUAGAGGAGGACAGUUCUCUGGUUAAGGGUGUAAGAAUAGCUGUGCUCCCCUGCUAGAACCUCCAAACGAGCUCUCAAAAUAUGUCCUCUGAAACACAGGGCUUAAGAAAAGACUUUACCAAAUGGGUGUUCUCCAAAUUGAAAUUGUUAGUGGUAAUAGACUUUU
rnacentral:snRNA from 1 species